GACUAACGCUGGCGGUAUGCCUUAGACAUGCAAGUCGAACGAGUUUCCGGGCUUGCUCGGAAAUUAGUGGCGGACGGCUGAGUAACGCGUAGGUGACCUACCCCGUAGUGUGGAAUAACUGCCCGAAAGGGUAGCUAAUACCGCAUGUUGAGCCGACAUCAAUGUCGUCUCCAAAGCAGAAAUGCGCUAUGGGCGGGGCCUGCGUUCGAUUAGCUAGUUGGUGGGGUAAUGGCUCACCAAGGCGACGAUCAAUAGCUGAUGUGAGAGCAUGAUCAGCCACACGGGCACUGAGACACGGGCCCGACUCCUACGGGAGGCAGCAGUAAGGAAUAUUGGGCAAUGGACGCAAGUCUGACCCAGCCAUGCCGCGUGAAGGAUGAAGGUCCUCUGGAUUGUAAACUUCUUUUAUCUGGGGCGAAAACCUCCCUUUCUAGGGGGCUUGACAGUACCAGAAGAAUAAGCACCGGCUAACUCCGUGCCAGCAGCCGCGGUAAUACGGAGGGUGCAAGCGUUAUCCGGAUUCACUGGGUUUAAAGGGUGCGUAGGCGGGCAGGUAAGUCAGUGGUGAAAUCCCCGAGCAUAACUCGGGAACUGCCGUUGAUACUAUCAGUCUUGAAUACCGUGGAGGUGAGCGGAAUAUGUCAUGUAGCGGUGAAAUGCUUAGAUAUGACAUAGAACACCAACUGCGAANGCAGCUCGCUACACGGUCAUUGACGCUGAGGCACGAAAGCGUGGGGAUCAAACAGGAUUAGAUACCCUGGUAGUCCACGCCCUAAACGAUGAUUACUCGACAUCAGCGAUACACUGUUGGUGUCUAAGCUAACGCAUUAAGUAAUCCACCUGGGAAGUACGAUCGCAAGAUUGAAACUCAAAGGAAUUGGCGGGGGUCCGCACAAGCGGUGGNAGCAUGGGUUUAAUUCGAUGANNCNCNAGGAACCUUACC
rnacentral:rRNA from 1 species